UACGUAGGGUGCGAGCGUUAAUCGGAAUCACUGGGCGUAAAGGGUGCGUAGGCGGGUCUUUAAGUCAGGGGUGAAAUCCUGGAGCUCAACUCCAGAACUGCCUUUGAUACUGAAGAUCUUGAGUUCGGGAGAGGUGAGUGGAACUGCGAGUGUAGAGGUGAAAUUCGUAGAUAUUCGCAAGAACACCAGUGGCGAAGGCGGCUCACUGGCCCGAUACUGACGCUGAGACGCGAAAGCGUGGGGAGCGACGAGGAAUUGAU
rnacentral:rRNA from 1 species